GAUGAACGCUGGCGGCGUGCCUAAUACAUGCAAGUCGAGCGAACAGACGAGGAGCUUGCUCCUCUGACGUUAGCGGCGGACGGGUGAGUAACACGUGGAUAACCUACCUAUAAGACUGGGAUAACUUCGGGAAACCGGAGCUAAUGCCGGAUAAUAUAUUGAACCGCAUGGUUCAAUAGUGAAAGACGGUUUUGCUGUCACUUAUAGAUGGAUCCGCGCCGCAUUAGCUAGUUGGUAAGGUAACGGCUUACCAAGGCAACGAUGCGUAGCCGACCUGAGAGGGUGAUCGGCCACACUGGAACUGAGACACGGUCCAGACUCCUACGGGAGGCAGCAGUAGGGAAUCUUCCGCAAAGGGCGAAAGCCUGACGGAGCAACGCCGCGUGAGUGAUGAAGGUCUUCGGAUCGUAAAACUCUGUUAUUAGGGAAGAACAAAUGUGUAAGUAACUAUGCACGUCUUGACGGUACCUAAUCAGAAAGCCACGGCUAACUACGUG
rnacentral:rRNA from 1 species